rnacentral:rRNA from 1 species
AGUCGAGCGAAUGGAUUGAGAGCUUGCUCUCAUGAAGUUAGCGGCGGACGGGUGAGUAACACGUGGGUAACCUGCCCAUAAGACUGGGAUAACUCCGGGAAACCGGGGCUAAUACCGGAUAACAUUUUGAACUGCAUGGUUCGAAAUUGAAAGGCGGCUUCGGCUGUCACUUAUGGAUGGACCCGCGUCGCAUUAGCUAGUUGGUGAGGUAACGGCUCACCAAGGCAACGAUGCGUAGCCGACCUGAGAGGGUGAUCGGCCACACUGGGACUGAGACACGGCCCAGACUCCUACGGGAGGCAGCAGUAGGGAAUCUUCCGCAAUGGACGAAAGUCUGACGGAGCAACGCCGCGUGAGUGAUGAAGGCUUUCGGGUCGUAAAACUCUGUUGUUAGGGAAGAACAAGUGCUAGUUGAAUAAGCUGGCACCUUGACGGUACCUAACCAGAAAGCCACGGCUAACUACGUGCCAGCAGCCGCGGUAAUACGUAGGUGGCAAGCGUUAUCCGGAAUUAUUGGGCGUAAAGCGCGCGCAGGUGGUUUCUUAAGUCUGAUGUGAAAGCCCACGGCUCAACCGUGGAGGGUCAUUGGAAACUGGGAGACUUGAGUGCAGAAGAGGAAAGUGGAAUUCCAUGUGUAGCG